GACGAACGCUGGCGGCGUGCUUAACACAUGCAAGUCGAACGGAAAGGCCCUGCUUUUGUGGGGUGCUCGAGUGGCGAACGGGUGAGUAACACGUGUGUAACCUGCCCUUGUCUUUGGGAUAACUUCACGAAACUGGGGCUCAUACCGGAUAGGAGCUCCUGCUGCAUGUUGGGGGUUGGAGAGUUUCGGCGGUUGGGGAUGGUCUCGCGGCUUAUCAGCUUGUUGGUGGGGUAGUGGCUUACCAAGGCUUUGACGGGUAGCCGGCCUGAGAGGGUGACCGGCCACAUUGGGUCUGAGGUACGGCCGAGACUCCUAAGGGAGGGAGCAGUGGGGAAUAUUGCACAAGGAGCGGAAGCCUGAUGCAGCAACGCCGCGUGCGGGAUGACGGCCUUCGGGUUGUAGACCGCUUUCGCCUGUGACGAAGCGUGAGUGACGGUAAUGGGUUAAGAAGCACCGGCUAACUACGUG
rnacentral:rRNA from 1 species